rnacentral:sRNA from 1 species
GCUGGGCGUGGUGGCACAUGCCUGUAAUCCCAGUGGUUUGGGAGGCUGAGGCAGGAGGAUUUAGAGUUCAAAGCCAGCCUCAG